UAGGGAAUCUUCGGCAAUGGGGGGAACCCUGACCGAGCAACGCCGCGUGAGUGAAGAAGGUUUUCGGAUCGUAAAGCUCUGUUGUUAAGGAAGAACGAGUGUGAGAAUGGAAAGUUCAUGCUGUGACGGUACUUAACCAGAAAGGGACGGCUAACUACGUGUCAGCAGCCGCGGUAAUACGUAGGUCCCGAGCGUUGUCCGGAUUUAUUGGGCGUAAAGCGAGCGCAGGCGGUUAGAAAAGUCUGAAGUGAAAGGCAGUGGCUCAACCAUUGUAGGCUUUGGAAACUGUUUAACUUGAGUGCAGAAGGGGAGAGUGGAAUUCCAUGUGUAGCGGUGAAAUGCGUAGAUAUAUGGAGGAACACCGGUGGCGAAAGCGGCUCUCUGGUCUGUAACUGACGCUGAGGCUCGAAAGCGUGGGGAGCGAACAGG
rnacentral:rRNA from 1 species